AGAGUUUGAUCCUGGCUCAGGAUAAACGCUGGUGGCGCACAUAAGACAUGCAAGUCGAACGGACCAAGCCAAAUAGUUUACUUUUUGGUAAGGUAGUGGCGGACUGGUGAGUAACACGUAAGCAACCUACCUAACAGAGGGGGACAACAGUUAGAAAUGACUGCUAAUACCGCAUAUGCAUGAGUAUCGCAUGAUACAAAUGGGAAAGGAGAAAUCCGCUGAUAGAUGGGCUUGCGACUGAUUAGCUAGUUGGUGGGGUAGAGGCCUACCAAGGCGACGAUCAGUAGCCGGACUGAGAGGUUGAACGGCCACAUUGGGACUGAGAUACGGCCCAGACUCCUACGGGAGGCAGCAGUCGGGAAUAUUGCGCAAUGGAGGGAACUCUGACGCAGUGACGCCGCGUGCAGGAAGAAGGUUUUCGGAUUGUAAACUGCUUUAGACAGGGAAGAAACAAGACAGUACCUGUAGAAUAAGCUCCGGCUAACUACGUGCCAGCAGCCGCGGUAAUACGUAGGGAGCGAGCGUUAUCCGGAUUUAUUGGGUGUAAAGGGUGCGUAGACGGAGAAGCAAGUUGGUUGUGAAAUCCCUCGGCUCAACUGAGGAACUGCAACCAAAACUACUACCCUUGAGUGCUGGAGAGGAAAGUGGAAUUCCUAGUGUAGCGGUGAAAUGCGUAGAUAUUAGGAGGAACACCAGUGGCGAAGGCGACUUUCUGGACAGUAACUGACGUUGAGGCACGAAAGCGUGGGGAGCAAACAGGAUUAGAUACCCUGGUAGUCCACGCCGUAAACGAUGGAUAC
rnacentral:rRNA from 1 species